AAGUUCCUUCGGGAACAAGUACAGCGGCGAACGGGUGAGUAACGCGUAAGAAUCUACCGUUCAGUGGAGAAUACCCUCGAGAAAUCGAGGUUAAUACUGCAUACGUCCCUUCGGGGAGAAAGAUGGCCUCUUUGCUAUCGCUGAAUGAGGAGCUUGCGUACUAUUAGCUAGUUGGUGGGGUAAAGGCCUACCAAGGCGAUGAUGGUUAGCCGGCCUGAGAGGGUGUUCGGCCACACUGGAACUUAGACACGGUCCAGACUCCUACGGGAGGCAGCAGUGAGGAAUCUUGCACAAUGGGCGAAAGCCUGAUGCAGCGACGCCGCGUGGAGGAUGAAGGUUUUCGGA
rnacentral:rRNA from 1 species